rnacentral:rRNA from 1 species
CUCGUAGGCGGUUCGUCGCGUCCGGUGUGAAAGUCCAUCGCUUAACGGUGGAUCCGCGCCGGGUACGGGCGGGCUUGAGUGCGGUAGGGGAGGACUGGAAUUCCCGGUGUAACGGUGGAAUGUGUAGAUAUCGGGAAGAACACCAAUGGCGAAGGCAGGUCUCUGGGCCGUCACUGACGCUGAGGAGCGAAAGCGUGGGGAGGCGAAACA